GCCUGGGUGGCUCAGUCGGUUGAGCAUCUGACUUCAGUUCAGGUCAUGAUCUUGCUGUUCAUGAGUUCGAGCCCCACAUUGGGCU
rnacentral:tRNA from 1 species